CACGUGGUGUGGUGUCUUUAGGGGUGCGCACCCCGUGACAGUAGCCAGUUUGCAGCCUGGAGGAGGGAGAGCUGAGAUGAAACGGUGAAUUUUAAAUAAUGUGGGGGGGAAAAGAGGCAGGAGUUGCCGGUUGCAGACGUGAGGGACUGUUUCAAAAUAUGGGGGCGAGAGGCUGCAGUCCACAUAAGUUUGUGGAACAAGAUCCUGCCUCCCAAGAGUGAAGACCGGGACAUCUCAGGAUCCUGACUGUGUUGUGACCAGGUUUGGAGAGGUGACUAAGGACUCGAAUUAUUGUGUACCUCUGAGGUUCAGUGGCUGGAAUGGAGCACACUCGUGGAUGUGUAGCAUUCACGUGGAAUAGGCCCCUUACUCUGACUGGGCCGUGUCAGCUCUGAGCAAUUUGAUCAGGUCAGAGACGUGACUGAGGAGUCUUAAUCAUUGCAUAGCCCUUGAGAUUUAUACAGAGAAGGAUAAAAGCUUAAAAUUGUGCAUUAUAACAAGUUGCAGGAAACCAAGCUGGAGGUACUAUCUUCCUGUGACUACAGCAGAAGUGAGAGAAAAUGUGAACAAUUUCCUUUGUGAAGCUUUCGUUGCCUGCAGCUGGCCGGUCAGCUUGUGCAGUCCGGCUACUUGGUAGAUUCCUUUCUUGGAGUUGAAGGGUUAGGCUGUAUUUGGGUGGAGUGCCCUUGAGAUUUUAUCUGCUGGGGGACCUGUACCUGUAAUAAAAUCAGCCAGGUGUUGUUAUCGUCA